rnacentral:lncRNA from 1 species
GACUUGCGAGUUGAGACAUCGAAGAAGGAAGCCACGCCAGGAUGCACAGGCGGUAGCCGGUAGGACACCAAAAAAAAUCGAUCACCAAAUCUCACAUGCGAGACAUAGGACGCACAGACGAUUUGACGAACAAUUUUCCUUUGUCGCAAUUGUUUUCAGGCACCGAUGACAGAUCUACUUCGAUAUCUUUCUAGUUUUUUAUAUCAAGGAAAAGGGACAGAUGAAUUGUCCUCACACAAAUGAAAAAACAAGGUGAGCUGUUACAAUUCAGUCGCAGAUGAAAAAACAGAUGAGCUGUACACAUUUUUUAGAUCGAGGAAGAGGGACAGUUUGUGUCCUGGAGGCAGCAACUUUUCUAUCAUCACACAUAAGGCCUGGUUCGUUUAGACCAAACCAAGCUUGGUUUGGUUUGGAUUGGGAUUUAGUUCAGUCCACAAUCCAAACCCAAAACAAUCCAGUAUUGUUAUAUUUUUUCUCUUCAUUUAAACCUGUUCGGGUUUCUAGCCCAGGACUUGGAUUUUUUUACCUGUGUAGCUCCUGGAUCAGAACCAUACCCCAUUCGUUCUAGAAAAAUUCCGACUCCAAACUCACGUCGACGCACACAACCGAGAAGAUGAGGUGUGGGUGAGCGGUGGUCGCGACGGCGACCUCUACUACGCUGGCAGCUUUCUCUCCGGUUGGUCCCUCUCUCUUUUGUUAGUUAGGGUUCUUGGAUCGAGUCCUUCUACUCACGCGCCGUACGUGCGUGCCGCUCACUCGUAGAUCCGGUGACGAUUCCUCCCCUGCGCGUGGGUGGUGAAAUUCUCCCUCCGCAUUCCAAAUCUUCCGUCUCGCCGCUGGGAUUUGAUUUAAGGCGAGGCGAGGUGAUGUGAGAUGAGAUGCCUCGCACGAACGCCUGUUGGACUAGGGAGAUGAGACGAUUCAUGCAAGAUUUGUUCCUGCUGCUGUCUUCCUCCUGCUACCAAGUGGCUUCUUGGGGGCAGGCAAGGAAUUAAGCUUGUAAAUCCCUGGAAUUUGAAGAACAAACAUUUGAAAUCAAAAGAAAAAAACAGCUCUCUUCGCUACCAACUUUAGAAGCAGGACAUCAAAUUCCAAAUUGGCUGACGGAUUCUUGCUUUACAUACACAAUAACACAAUACAUGCGCCUGUCUGUUGUGCCUUGCACUUAGUCACUGGUUGUUGCUGUUGGGGCAUCAGUUCCUUGUGGAGCUUUUACUUGCUUUAGCUUUCUAUUUCUGCUUGCUUUGUUUUUUUUAUUAUCACUGCUAGAAGCAUUUAACUGCACAACUGCAGGCUUCGACUCUAGAGAAUUUAACUGUUAAGAACAAUUAUCACCAAUUUUGAUUUAGUAACCAAUUAGCAGACUUAUGCAAUUUUGACUUGGUAAUAGUUAGCACCAGUUUAAUUAUCUAACAGCAUGCUGAUUUUUUAGAUUGUCCCUACUCCAAUAAAAGUCGGCGAGGACACUUUUGAGUGUGAAUUUGAAAUUCACUGCUUCAACUUGUUUCUAUGUAUAGCAAAAUCUAUAUGUAGGAUACUUUUGAGUUUUCUUGAUCAACAUUAAUUUUACAAAUACAAUGUCAUUCAUUUCCAGAACAUCAAAAUUUAGUUGCUGAAAUGAGCUUAUGUAAGUAUGUUUGUCAGUGUGGCUUCUGUUAAAAGAUAUUUCAAUUAUGAACCUACGAGUUAAUUUAUUAUUCUGAUCAAUUGCAGUUGGUGCAUAUGUUGUGAAACUCACCUCUGUUGACUUGGAGAAGGCUUUAUAUAAAUCUUAGCAUAUCUCCGUGAACUCUUGGUGGUCUUAUUGGUGGACAAGAACUGUAGUAAUUGAUUUGCAAUAGAUGAAUAAUUAGUAGCAACCUAGAAUUGUAUGACAUGUUUAAAUUUCUAG